rnacentral:ncRNA from 2 species
AUACGUGCUCCGGGGUCGGUGUAAGUCCGAACCGGCGGUGACAGUCCGCGACCCGCGAGCCGGUGGUUCCUUUACGGAAGCCCGGCGGACGGUUGAACUGGUGAAAUUCCAGUACCGACAGUUAAAGUCUGGAUGAGAGAAGCACGUAC